ensembl:lncRNA
CUCGGCGCUCGGUUGCUAAGGUGUUUCUAGGUGGUUGUUAGAGCGGUUGCUAGGGUACCCAGGGUGGUUGCUAGGAUGUUGAUAUGUGGUUGCUAGGUUACUUGGGGUGGUUGUUAAGCUGUUGCUAGGCGGUUGCUAGGGUGUUCUGAGUGGUUGCUAGGUGGUUGCUAUGUUAACCUGGGUGGUUGCUAGGCAGUUGCUAAGGUACUUGGGGUGGUUGCUAAGGUGUUGCUAGGUGGUUGCUAGGCGGUUGCUAUGGUAACCUGGGUGGUUGCUAUGCUGUUACUAGGUGGUUGCUAUGGUAACCUGGGUGGUUGCU